CCGAGGUUGUCGGAUCACUUGAGGUCAGGAGUUAGAGACCAGCCUGGCCAACAUGGUGAAACCAUGUCUCUACUAAAAAUACAAAAAUUAGCCUGGCGUGGUGGCUCACGCCUAUAAUCCCAGCUACUUGGGAGGCUGAGGGAGGAGAAUCACUUGAACCCAGGAGGUGGAGGUUGCUGUAAGCUGAGAUCGUGCCACUGUACUCCAGCCUGGGUGAGGGAGUGAGACCUCGUCUCAGACAAACAAACAAAAAGAAGAAUGUUUUAUUCUGCUGUUGUUGGGAGGAAUAUUCUAUGAAUAUUAAGUUGAUCAGAUUGGUUGAUUCUUUUCUUGGUUGGCUGGUUUAAUUGUUCUAUAUCUUACUGAUUUUCUGCCUCCUUGUUCUUCAUUGCUGAGAGAGGAGUAUUCUACGUUGCUGAGAGAAGGAUGUUGAAUUGUGGCUUCUUUUUCUCCUACCAUUUCUAUCAACGUGUUUCAUGCAUUUUGAAGAUCUCUUGUUAGAUGCACAUACAUUUAGGAUUAUUAUUUUUUCUUGAAGAAUCGAUCCCCUUAGCAACAUGUGCUGUCUUUAUCCCUGAUAUUUCUUGUUCUGCAGUUAUUCAUCUGAUAUUAAUUAUUUCAGUUACUACUCAGGGUUUCUUUAGAUUAAUGUUUACAAAGUUUAUGUAUUUUUUACUUGUUUUUUAUUUUUGAGACAGAGUCUCGCUCUGUCACUCAGUCUGGAGUGCAAUGGUGCAGUCUAGGCUCACUGCAACCUCUGCCUUCUGGGUUCAAGCCCUUCUCAUGCCUCAGCCUCCCAAGUAGUUGGGACAACAGGGACGCACCACUGUGCCUGGCUAAUUUUCUAUUUUUAGUAGAGAUGGGGUUUCACCAUGUUGGCCAGGCUGGUCUCGAACUCCUGACCUCAAGUGAUCCUCCUGCCUCAGCCUCCCAAAGAGGUGGGAUUACAGGCAUGAGCCACUGCUCUCGGCCACAAGGUUUAUAUAUUUUAUCAUUUUACUUUUAACCUACUUGUAACCUUUUAUUUAAAAUAUAUUUCUUUCUUUGUUUUUUUAUUUGGAUGGAGUCAGGAGUCCCGCUAUGUUGCCCAGCUGGUCUUGAACUCCUGGCCUCAAGCAAUCCUCCUGCCUUGGCUUCCCAAAGUGUUGGGAUUACAGACAUUAGCCAUGGUGGCAGCCUACACUGUGUUUGUAUAAACAGUUCAGAAUUGAGUCUUGGAUUAUCUGACAAUCUCUCUUUUAAUUCAGGGGUUCCCAACUCCCAGGCGAUGGACCAGUACCAGUCCCAGUCCGUGGCCUGUUAGGAACCAGACUGCACAGCAGAACCUCUAAUACAACAUCAACAGAACUGGCGAGAGAGUACCUCCUUGCCUUGUUACUAAUCUUAUGGGGGAAACAUUCACCCUUUCUACUUUUGUAAUAUAGACAUUUAAUGCUGUAAGUAAUUUUCUGUAAGUACAGCUUUAGCAAUAUCCCACAAUGCUUCGUAUAUUGUGUUUCAGUUUGGUAUAUUGUGUUUCAGGUAUAUUUCAUUAAGUUCAAAAUACUUUCUAAUUUCAUUUUUGAUUUCUUCUUUGAACCCCAUGUUAUUCGGGCGUGUAUUAUUUGGUUUCCAAAUAUUUGGAGAUUUUUCUCUCUUUUUUUUUUUUUUUUUUUGUUGAGUUGCUUUGAUUUCCUCAUAUAUUCUGCAUAUCAGUCUCUUGUUGGAUGAACAGUUCGCAAAUUUUUUUUUUCCAGUCUACAGGUUGUCUCUUCAUUCUCUUGAUUGUUUGUUUUGCUGAAGGGAAAGUAAACUGAUUGUUACUGAUUUGUAAUUUAAUUUCAUUGUCAAAGAAUAGUCUUAGUAUAACAUGAAUAGUUUUACAUUUGAGACUUUUUUUGUGGCCCAGAAUAUGGUCAGUCUUAUUAAAUGUUCCAUGUGCAAUAGAAAAGAAAGUUUAUUUUGCUGUUGUUGCAUGGAAUAUUCUAUCAAUAUCAAUUAGUGAAAGUGUUGGAUGGUAUCAAGUUGGUUGAUAAUGUAGCUGAUUUUUCUGCCUACAUGUUCUGUCAAGUAUUGACACAGGGAUAUUAAAAUGUCUGACUAUACUGGUGGGUUUGUCUGUUUCUCGUUGCUGUUCUAUCAGUCUUUGCUUCAUGUAUUUUGAAGCUCUCAUAUUAGGAGCAUAGAUAUUUAGGAUUGUUCUUUCCUCUUGAUUAGCUGACCUCUUUAUCAUUAUGAAAAGACAUUUUUUUCCAUAAAAGUCUUUGUUCUGAAAUGGACUUUAAUAGCAUAAAUCCUCUAGAUUUCUUUGAAUUAGUAGUAGUAUGAUAUAUCUUUGUCCAUUCUUUUACAUGUAACCUAUUUGCAUCUUUAUAUUUCAUAGUGGGUUUCUUAGAAACAGCGAGUAGUUGAGUCUUUAUAUACAAUCUGACAAUGUCUGCCUUUUAAUUGGAGUGUUUAGACCAUUUACACCUAAUGUGAUUAUUGAUAUAAUGAAAUUUGAAUAUACUUUCUUGCUAUGUUUUCUGUUUGCCCCAUCUGUUUCUGUUUCAUUUUCUGUUUUUCUGCCUGCUUUUUUUUAAAAAUGUUUAUUUUUUAUCUUAACAUUUCUUUUGGUUCACUACCUAUAACUCUUCAUUUUGUUAUUUAGUGAUUGUUUUAGGACAGGCUUGUCUAACCCGUUGUCUGUGGGCCGCAUAUGGCCCAGGAUGGCUUUGAAUGUGGCCCAACAUAAAUUUGUAAACUUUCUUAAAACAUUAUGAUUUUUUUUUGCAACUUUUUUUGUUGUUGUUUAGCUCAUUAGCUAUAGUUAGUGUAUUUUAUGUGUGGCUCACAACAAUUCUUUUUCCAAUGUGGCACAGGAAAGCCAAAAGAUUGCACACCCCUGUUUUAGGGUUUCUAGUAUAUAUCUGUAACUUAUAAUGGCCUACCAUCAAGUAAUAUUAUACCAUUUCACAUAUAAGAAGUUUACAGAAGUAUAUUUUUAUUUCUCUCCUUUCAGGUUUUGUGCUAUUAUUUUACUCCUACUUAUGUUAUAUCCUCCACAAUACAUUGCUAUUUUUGUUUAAAUGGUCAAUUAUUUUGUAAAGAUAUCCUUUGUUUCUUUGUAUAGAUACAUAUUUCCAUCUGGUAAAAUUUUUCUUCGGUCAGAAGGACUUUCUUAAUCAUUUUUUUGUAGUAUGGGUUUACCAGUGAGGAAUACUUUUGUAUAUUUGAAAAGGUAUUUCACUUUCACUUUUGAAAGAUAUUUAAGUAUCAAAUUCUAGGUUGACAGUUUUUUUUCCUCUUUCAGCAGUUUAAGCCAUCUGCUCUACUGCCUUUUCUCUUCCAUUAUUUCUGAUGAGAAAACAUCACCCUUAUCUUGGUUUCUCUGUAUGUAACAGUUUUUCCUCUCUAGAUGCUUUUACAAUUUUUUCUGUAUCCCUGGAUUUGAGCAAUAUGAUUGUGAUGUAGUUUAGUGAAUUUUUUCUCAUGUGAUUAGGGUUUGUUGAUCUUGGACUUCUGGAUUUACACUAUUCACUAAUUUUGGAAUAAUUUCAGCCAGUUUAUUUCUCUAAGUAUUUUCUUCUGACCUCCUCUCCCCUCCUUCAGAGACUCACAUUACACGUAAAUUAAACCAUUUGGAAUUGCCUCACAGUUCAUUGAUAAUGUAUUGUUGUUGUUACUGUUUUCCUCCUCCUCCUUCUAGUCCUUUUUCCCUUUUGUGUUUUAGUUUGGAUAAUUUCUAUUGCUGUGUCACUAAGUUCACCUUUUUUUCUGCAGUGUCUCAUCUGUCAUUAACCCCAUUUUGUAUAUUCUUCAUCUCAGACAUUAUAGUUUUGUAUUUAGAAAUUUUUCGAGAACUUUUGUGUCUCUGAUAUGUUCUUUCCUCUCACGUUUUAAACAUUUGGAUAUAGUUAUAACAACAGUUUUAUUGUCCUUGUAUGCUUAUUCUAACAUUUGUGUUGGUUCUGGAUUGGUUUCUGUUGAUUGAUUUUUCUCCUUAUUACAAGUUUUCCCUGCGUAUUUGUAUGCCUGAUAAUUUUUUAUUUUAUGCCAGAUAUUGUGAUUUUUUUUUCUUCUUGUGGGGGCUGUAUAUUUUUCUAUUCCUACAAAUAUUAUUUAACUUUGUGUUGAAAUGCAGUUAAGUUUCUAGAAAACACUUUAACCCUUUUGGGUCUUUUAAAAUAUGUUAGGAGCAGAACAAUAUUUAGUCUACAGCUAAUUAUUUUCUCUUUUGAGACAAGACCCUUUUAAACACAGAUGCUCCUUGAUGUAGUUAUUGGCAUGUAACCCUGCCCUAAAUUGAGGAAUAUAGCGAAUGAGUUUCACUUUCAUACCAUCCUAAAGUUGAAAAAUCUUAAAUUGAACCAUAGUAAAAUGGGGACCUUCUAUAUUCUAUUUAACACCUUGUGAAUUAAGAAAUUUCUCAAUCUCACUGGUGCAAACAAGUACCAUUCUUGCCCUUGUGUGAUCUCUCAGUAUUGCUCCCUUUAAUCCUUUUAGGUGUCCUUUUCCUGGCCUCAGGUAGUUUUCUCAUAUUCAUACACUGAUAGUCCUGAUUCCCAGGGGGCACCAACUGCCGAUCUAUGCAGUUCGUCCUCACUACUCUGCCCUGCAAACUCUAGCUGCCUUUGUCUCCCUGGACUCUCCCCUGUACUUCUUCAACUUAGAGGGAGUCUACCAGGCCCUACUUGGGUUCCCUUCCCCUAUGCCCUGUCCUGGUGUGAUGUUAGUUAACUUUUUGUGUCAAUUUGACUGGGUUAAGGGAUACUACAUAGCUGAUAAGACAUUAUUUCUGGGUGUGUCUGUGACAGCAUGACCAGAAGAUAUUAGUACUGGAUUCAGUAACAAAGAAGAUCCACCCUCACCCAUGUAGGUGGGCAUCAUCCAACCUACCUAGGGCCUGGAUAGAACAAAAAGGUAGGGACAAGGUAAUUAAGUCUCCCUUCUGGAGCUGAUGCAUCCGUUUUCUCCUGCCCUUAGACAUCAGAGUUCCAGGUUCUCAGGCCUUUGGACUGGGGCACUUAACUAGUCCCUAUCCAAAACUAUCCAAACUAAUAUGCAAAAAGGAAAGAAAGACUAGAAGAAAGGGAGGAGAACACCACCACCAACAACAAAUCUUCAGUGUCGACGAACUGUGAGACAAUGUCAACCCUCUAGGCCUUCAGACUCAGGCCGAGUUGCAAUACUGACUUUCCUGGUUAUCUAGUUUGCAGGUAGCAUAUCGUGGGACUUUUCAGCCUCCAUUUCUUGAAACCAUUGUUCCAUGUAUUUUGUCCAGAUUUUUAGGUAUUUCAGGUGGGCUAGAAUCAACUAGUAAUGGAAUACUAAUAUCUAGUCACCUGAAAUACCUAAAAAUACCCAGUCCCUAUGACUCCAUCUUAGCUGAAACUGAAAUUCCAAUAACAUUUUAAGUUUCCAAGAUUUCUAUUUAUUUUCUGUUUCAUAUGUACAGGACACCCAGGAAUCUCUGAAGAUAUUAUUUAAAUUUAUUUUUGGUUGUAUAACUGACUCUUUUUUUUUUGAUGAUAAUUUGUUGAGUUUGGGGUCUUUCUCUUAUGGGCUUGUUUUUCUUUACAUGUUGGACAGUUCUUAGUUGUCUGCUUGUGUUUCUUUGCAUUUGAGAAUUAGUCUACAUUUCUCUGGGAAUACUAGUUACAUUACUUACUCUGCUUCUUCUCAUUGUCUAUGAUGAGCAUCUAAAUAGAGUUUGGUGGCAGUUUGUCUUCUGGGUGUGAUGUUCCUCAUCGUUCUUGAGGUUAGUUGUUACUUGGGCACUCCCCACAGCAUCCUGACAGCAAAUACUGCCAUUGGCCCCUUGCUCCUAAGCAAAAGCUGGGGAUUGAGGAAGUGUCCCAUCGGCCCGGCUGCUCUGAAUUAAUUUUCACCUGAAUGCCUGGGAUCCCCUCAUGUACUUCGUAUAAGAUGCCACUGACUUCUGGAGUUGGACUUGAUUGCCAUUUUUUUUUUUUGAGACGGAGUCUUGCUCUCUUGCCCAGGCUGGAGUGCAGUGGCAUGAUCUCGGCUCACUGCAAACUCCACCUCCCAGGUUCACGCCAUUCUCCUGCCUCAGCCUCCUGAGUAGCUGGGGCUACAGGCGCCCACCACCACUCCCGGCUAAUUUUUUGUAUUUUUAGUGGAGACAGCGUUUCACUAUGUUACCCAGGAUGGUCUCGACCUCCUGACCUCGUAAUCCACCCGCCUUGGCCUCCCAAAGUGCUGGGCUGGGAUUACAGGCAUGAGUCACCGCGCCCAGCCUCUAUUGCCAUUUUUAUGAAAAGUUUCUGCUACUACUUGGUUUCCUCCAAGCUUAUUUCUAUGUAGAUCUGUGUGCUUUUUUAAAAUCGAGAGUUUGUCACAAUUUCUGCCCCUCUGUUAACACUUUUUUUUUGUUUGUUUUCCAUUGUUACUAUGGACAUAUUCUUUCAAAAAUGUUUAUCUUUUCUGACAUGGGUGUAAGGAGAUGUAGACACAUGUUCAAUUAUAUAAGGUUUCAUUAUAUGAUGAUACACUCUAACUCAUUAACCAGCCAUUAUUAAUAAAAUAGGUGGUGUAUAGUGUGUAUAAGGUAUAAUGAACAUUCUUGAACAUAUAUUUUUAAAUAAUUAUGUAAAUGUUAAUGUGUAAAGCUCUAAAACAUAGUUUAUUUGAUUUGUUUACAUUCCAUUUAAACACCAAAGAUAUAUAAUAUUCACUUUAUUCUCACAUUCAUACUGAUGAGAGUGUAUUGGAGGAAAAAGUAUUAUUGAUUUCAUUUUGAAAAAUAGUGUUUUUCCCCCGACUCCUACCUUCACUCCCCAUUAGUGAAGAAUAGUCAAAGACAAUACCUUAAAAAAACAAACAACAACAAAAAAACAAACCAACAAAACCUUCGAAUGUACUAAGUAGUUUGAAAACUUUACCAAAUAUGUCAAAUUACUAAGAUAUUAACUUAGGUGAUGGAUUAAUUUAUAUCGAAUAUUUAGAGCAAUGUCCUAAGUUCGGUGUAAUAUCCUAAGUACAUUAUUCAGUACUUUUCUGGUUUUCACACCCAAAUAUUUAAUAUGUGAAAUUUAAAUGAUUAUUAAGUAGAAAUGUGUGGGUUCCAGAGGUGAGAGCAUACUUAUAUCUCUCUGCUCCCAAAUAGCAUGUGUAGUUUGUUAAUGUUGAACACGUUAUUUUAUUUUGGUUUAAUCAUACGUUCAAAGAAAAUACCAUUCACAGUUGUUUCUGGAGGAUUAGCUCCUUGUUGUUUUCUCAUUACCUACAGUUUAAAACUAAACAAAAGUAGUUUUAAAAAUAAUGUGUUAAAAAAAAGCCCUCAAUAUAAGUUAAACCAGACAACUCAUUUUAUAGUGAUUUUUUUCUUUAAUUCAAAAAUGUUGACCUACCAAGUUUAAUGUAAUACACUUUCAUCAGUACAAUGUUUCACUCCUAUAAAAUUAGAGAUAAUUAAAAAUAAGACAUUGAGGUUUUUUUUAAACUUUUUGUUAUACACAUUUAGUUUGAACUCCUUGUCCUAAUUACUUGUUUCUGUUGAGCAAGUAAGUAAUGUACUUAAGGAUGCUAUUGGGAUCUUGUACAACAAACACUAUAGAGAAUAGAGAAUCUGAAAGGCAAGAUGGAAAUGUCAUCUAGAAAAAACAUGUGAGAGAAUCUUUUUAUUGACCACACAUGUAAUCUCAAAGUGAAAGUUAAUGAGAUUUAGGCAAUUAAUGCAUUUUCUUAAUGUAUAGGGUUUUAAAUGGAAAAAAUUACUCUGUCUAGAUGUUUAUCAUGAUAAAUAGUUGAUGUUUUCAGUAGACUGGAAAGUAAGUUAACAACCUAUGAUAUAUUCCAGAAUAAAAGGCCAUCAUUGUGUAAACACUAAUGCAUAUUCAUAUAAUGUAAAUCCACUGAAUCAUUCAUUGGCAGUCAUUUGACAUGAUGUUAAUAGUUUUUUCUAACUGGGUAUGUUUCCAUUAUUUGUUCCCUUGGAGAAUUUAGAAGUGCUGAAUUUCACUGGACAGCAUAGGAAGCAUUAUUUUAGCAAGUUCUUCAAUACCCAUGUAGUCAUUAUUUCUCAGUAUCAUAUUCUUAUUUCAUCACUAGAAUAAUACUCUUGACAGUUAAGUUCUAAUCAGGUUUCAUGUUUACAUUCUCCAAAGUGCUUAUUUUCAUUCAUUCAAUAAACACCACUUAUUUUCCAGGGACUGUGCCAGGUAAGUACUCUGGAUAGUUCACUGCCCCGUAUCUGCAGGAGCCUACUUGUUGAGCAUAUGGUAAGUGCUUGACAAAUAGUUAUUGAGUGAACUUAGGUCGUGGAAAAAUCCCCAAAUAUUGUGAAAUUAAACAACACACUUCAAAGUAGUCCAGGGUCAGAGACAAAAAUCACAAAAUAAAUUAGAAAAUGUUUUGAAUUUAGAAGUAAUGAAAAUACAAUACAGUUGACCCUUGAACAGCAUGGGGUUGUUCAGUGUCUAGUCAAAAAUCUAUGUAUAACUUUGUACUCCCCUAAAACUUAACUACUAAUAGGCUGCUGUUGACUAGAAGCCUUACCAAUAGUGUAAACAGUAGAUUAACAUGUAUCCUGCAUGUUAUAUGUAUUACAUACUGUAUUCUUACAGCAAAGUAAGAGAAAAGAAAAUGGUAUUAAAAUCAUAAGAAAAAAUAUAUUUACUAUUCAUUAUGAGGAAGUGGAUCAUCAUAAUGAUCUUCAUCUUGUCUUCAUGUUGAGUAGGCUGAGGAGGAAGGAAAUGAGGGGUUUGUUUUGGUGUCUCAGGGGUGGCAGAGGCAGAAGAAAAUCCAUACGUAACUGGGCCUGUGAUGUUCAAACCCAUGUUGUUCGAGGGUCAACUGUAUAUCCAAAUUUGUGGGAUUCAACUAAAGCAAAACCUACAGAGAAAAUUACAGUGUUAAAUGCUUAUAUUAGAAAAUAACAGUCUAUGGUCAAUGAUCUCAGCUUCUACUUUUAUAAUCUGGAAAAAGAGCAAUUAAACUACUAUGAAGGAAAUAAUAAAAAAGUGGAAAUCAAUAAAAUGGGAAAUGGAUAAGCAAGAGAGAAAAUAAGUAAAACCCCAAAUGGCAUAGAAAAGAGGGACACAAUAGAUAAAAUUAAUAAAACUCUAGAUAAUUCCAAGGUAGAGGAUGGUGGGAGAUAAAUAGGCUUUUAGGUAGAUGGUUAUGGAACAACAUCAUUGUGGAAAAAAUAAACUUUAACUCUUAGCUAUAUACAAAAAUUAAAAUGUAUUAUAGAUCUAAAUGCAAAAGUUAAAACUCUAAAGCUUCUAAAAGAAAACACUGGGGCCAGGCACAGUGGCUCCUGCCUGUAAUCCCAGUACUUUGGGAGGCUGAGGCGGGUGGAUCACCUGAGGUCGGGAGUUUGAGACCAGCCUGACCAACAUGCAGAAACCCCAUCUCUACUAAAAAUAACAACAUUAGCCGGGAGUGGUUAUGCAUGCCUGUAAUCCCAGCUACUCAGGAGGCUGAGGCAGGAGAAUUGUUUGAACCUGGGAGGCAGAGGUUGCGGUGAGUCGAGAUUGUGCCAUUGCACUCCAGCCUGGGCAACGAGCAAAACUCCAUCUCAAGAAAAAAAAAUAUUGGGAAGAAACUUUUUAUGACCUUGGAGUAGGAAAAGGUUUUCUAUGUAGGAUACAGAAAUAUUUAUGAAAAACUUCGAAAAUUGGACUUAAUCAAAAUUUAAAACCUUUGCUCUUCCAAAGAUAAUAAAUUAAAAAAGGCUUACCAUAGCGGAAAAGUUUUGCAAUAAUAUAGCUGAUAAAGGUCUUGUAUCCAGAACAACAAAGAACUCAGAAAUUAAUAAAAAGCCAACUAAAAAUACAA